GACCUGCACAACAAAAAGCUCUGUACCACAGUCUACAGAAAACCGACUUAUGAGCCGGUCAUUAUACCAAAGUGGUCCCAUGAACCGACCGACCUAUAAAUUGGCUACAUUUAGAUUCUACUUUAAAAGGGCAGAAGUUUAUAUUAACAACCAGAAAGAAAAAGAAUUACAAUAUAUAUAUAUACAGAACUGGACAUCUAUAUGGUUAUACAAGAGGUUUUUUAAGAAAGGUCCAUGAAAGAGUCUGGCGGUCGUUGUCAGGGCAAGUGGUGCCAAAGGAAAUGGAAGGUGCCAAAUACCAGCCACUACCCUAUGCAAUGAAGGACUCUAAGCUUGUAAGAUCUGUAAUAGCGAGGAGUGAUAAGAGAUUAGCCUAUAAGAGGCUUUCUACAUUGUUUAGCAAGCUUCGUAAUGAGAAAGAUAAAGUGGGGAGUAGGCAGAAGUCGGGGUAUAUAGGAUACCACUCAAAAACUUGGACACAAAGAAGGAAGAAAUUUAUAUAGGGGUAACUACGAGGCCAC
rnacentral:lncRNA from 1 species